rnacentral:rRNA from 1 species
CAGCAGCCGCGGGAAUACGAAGGGUGCAAGCGUUACUCGGAAUUACUGGGCGUAAAGCGUGCGUAGGUGGUGGUUUAAGUCCGUUGUGAAAGCCCUGGGCCCAACCUGGGAAUUGCAGUGGAUACUGGGUCACUAGAGUGUGGUAGAGGAUAGUGGAAUUUCCGGUGUAGCAGUGAAAUGCGUAGAGAUCGGAAGGAACAUCUGUGGCGAAGGCGACUAUCUGGGCCAACACUGACACUGAGGCACGAAAGCGUGGGGAGCAAACAGGAUUAGAUACCCCUGUAGUCCCUGUCUCUUAUAA